rnacentral:misc_RNA from 1 species
GCAAACUUGGUCAUUUAGAGGAAGUAAAAGUCGUAACAAGGUAACCGUAGGUGAACCUGCGGUUGGAUCAUUACUGAGUGCGAAAAAAAUUUUCCCCCAUUGUGAACUGUUAUUAUUUCUUUGGUGGCCCAAAAUAUGUCGGCGCGUCUUUGUUGUAUAGUUACUCACUUUGAUCGAGGUCUUGUGAGUCAUCCAUAUUCAAGGACGCGACUUCGGGCCACCUAGUUAUGUUAAAUUCCUUGUUUAAAUGUAAUUUUUGUCUUUUACGUGAUUCCGCGUUAUUGAGCGGAUCCAACAAUAAAACAAGAACAACUUUUGACAAUGGAUCUCUUGGCUCUUGCAUCGAUGAAGAACGCAGC